ACGAAAGUCUGACGGAGCAACGCCGCGUGAGUGACGAAGGCCUUCGGGUCGUAAAGUUCUGUUGUUAGGGAAGAACAAGUACCGUUCGAAUAGGGCGGUACCUUGACGGUACCUAACCAGAAAGCCACGGCUAACUACGUGCCAGCAGCCGCGGUAAUACGUAGGUGGCAAGCGUUGUCCGGAAUUAUUGGGCGUAAAGCGCGCGCAGGCGGUCUCUUAAGUCUGAUGUGAAAGCCCACGGCUCAACCGUGGAGGGCCAUUGGAAACUGGGGGACUUGAGUGCAGAAGAGGAGAGUGGAAUUCCACGUGUAGCGGUGAAAUGCGUAGAUAUGUGGAGGAACACCAGUGGCGAAGGCGGCUCUCUGGUCUGUAACUGACGCUGAGGCGCGAAAGCGUGGGGAGCAAACAGGAUUAGAUACCCUGGUAGUCCACGCCGUAAACGAUGAGUGCUAGGUGUUGGGGGGUUCCACCCUCAGUGCUGAAGUUAACACAUUAAGCACUCCGCCUGGGGAGUACGACCGCAAGGUUGAAACUCAAAGGAAUUGACGGGGGCCCGCACAAGCAGUGGAGCAUGUGGUUUAAUUCGAAGCAACGCGAAGAACCUUACCAGGUCUUGACAUCCUCUGCCACUCCUAGAGAUAGGACGUUCCCCUUCGGGGGACAGAGUGACAGGUGGUGCAUGGUUGUCGUCAGCUCGUGUCGUGAGAUGUUGGGUUAAGUCCCCGCAACGAGCGCAACCCUUGAUCUUAGUUGCCAGCAUUCAGUUGGGCACUCUAAGGUGACUGCCGGUGACAAACCGG
rnacentral:rRNA from 1 species